UACGGGGGGGGCAAGCGUUGUUCGGAAUUACUGGGCGUAAAGGGCUCGUAGGCGGCCAACUAAGUCCGACGUGAAAUCCCCAGGCUCAACCUGGGAACUGCGUCGGAUACUGGAUGGCUUGAAUUCGGGAGAGGGAUGCAGAAUUCCAGGUGUAGCGGUGAAAUGCGUAGAUCUCUGGAGGAACACCGGUGGCGAAGGCGGCAUCCUGGACCAAUACUGACACUGAGGAGCGAAAGCCAGGGGAGCAAACGGG
rnacentral:rRNA from 1 species